AGAGUUUGAUCCUGGCUCAGGAUGAACGCUAGCGGCAGGCCUAACACAUGCAAGUCGAGGGGCAUCGGGAUUGAAGCUUGCUUCAAUUGCCGGCGACCGGCGCACGGGUGCGUAACGCGUAUGUAACCUACCUAUAACAGGGGCAUAACACUGAGAAAUUGGUACUAAUUCCCCAUAAUAUUCGGAGAGGCAUCUCUCCGGGUUGAAAACUCCGGUGGUUAUAGAUGGACAUGCGUUGUAUUAGCUAGUUGGUGAGGUAACGGCUCACCAAGGCAACGAUACAUAGGGGGACUGAGAGGUUAACCCCCCACAUUGGUACUGAGACACGGACCAAACUCCUACGGGAGGCAGCAGUGAGGAAUAUUGGUCAAUGGACGCAAGUCUGAACCAGCCAUGCCGCGUGCAGGAAGACGGCUCUAUGAGUUGUAAACUGCUUUUGUACGAGGGUAAACGCUCUUACGUGUAAGAGCCUGAAAGUAUCGUACGAAUAAGGAUCGGCUAACUCCGUGCCAGCAGCCGCGGUAAUACGGAGGAUCCAAGCGUUAUCCGGAUUUAUUGGGUUUAAAGGGUGCGUAGGCGGUUUGAUAAGUUAGAGGUGAAAUACCGGUGCUUAACACCGGAACUGCCUCUAAUACUGUUGAACUAGAGAGUAGUUGCGGUAGGCGGAAUGUAUGGUGUAGCGGUGAAAUGCUUAGAGAUCAUACAGAACACCGAUUGCGAAGGCAGCUUACCAAACUAUAUCUGACGUUGAGGCACGAAAGCGUGGGGAGCAAACAGGAUUAGAUACCCUGGUAGUCCACGCAGUAAACGAUGAUAACUCGCUGUCGGCGAUACACAGUCGGCGGCUAAGCGAAAGCGAUAAGUUAUCCACCUGGGGAGUACGUUCGCAAGAAUGAAACUCAAAGGAAUUGACGGGGGCCCGCACAAGCGGAGGAACAUGUGGUUUAAUUCGAUGAUACGCGAGGAACCUUACCCG
rnacentral:rRNA from 1 species